GGCUGAAAGCACCAGUUCUCAUCUGAUCAAUGAAACUAAACAUCAUCAGGCAUGGUCAGUACUUGAAAGAGUGACCACCUGGGAACAUU